rnacentral:rRNA from 1 species
AAUCACCUACGGGACGCAGCAGUGAGGAAUAUUGGUCAAUGGUCGGGAGACUGAACCAGCCACGCCGCGUGAGGGAUGAAGGUACAGAGUAUCGUAACCCUCUUUUGUUAGGGAACAAAGGCGGGGACGCGUCCCCGGAUGAGUGUACCUGAGGAAAAAGCAUCGGCUAACUCCGUGCCAGCAGCCGCGGGAAUACGGAGGAUGCGAGCGUUAUCCGGAUUUAUUGGGUUUUAAGGGUGCGCAGGCGGGCUGUUAAGUAAGCGGUCAAAGACCGGGGCUCAACCCCG